AACUUUCAACAACGGAUCUCUUGGUUCUGGCAUCGAUGAAGAACGCAGCGAAAUGCGAUAAGUAAUGUGAAUUGCAGAAUUCAGUGAAUCAUCGAAUCUUUGAACGCACAUUGCGCCCCCUGGUAUUCCGGGGGGCAUGCCUGUCCGAGCGUCAUUAC
rnacentral:rRNA from 1 species